rnacentral:sRNA from 1 species
AAUAUCUGAAUUUCUGUUCACAGGACUCGAAAAGAGGUCACUGGAAAACCUGAACGGAUCCACAUCAAGCCAAUCAACUAAAAGAGGGGUUAAAAAACGCCACUGGCGAAGAAAUCCAGAAAGUUCUAGUGGUCAAGCGAAGUUCGUGUCCAAAGCGUCAUUCGCAGUUAUUGUUCUUGGUCUUCUUGUCCAACUAUUCAAGCGCAGACAACUACAUUUGUAUUAAUUCCACUGAAAAAAGACUUUUUGUUUCAUGAAAA